UGAAUUUUUAUGAUGAUUUCAUAGUUCAACUGAACACUUUGAUGUAUAACUAGCAUAUGUCUUUCGCUCCUAUCUGAAUCAUAUU